UGGGAUAGCUCAUUGGGUACAGCAUGAGACUCUUAAUCUUGGGGUUGUUGUGAGUUUGAGCCCCACGUUGGGGCAAAA